AAUAUUGGUAGAAUGCGGUUUUAGGGGUUUUUGAAACCUCUUUGAAGAUUUUGCUUUGAAACCUUAACACUUCUUCUACACCCCACAUAACCCCAUCAUAAAAAUCAUAAAGUCUCGACCUCCGCUUUAGUGGUAUUUCUAAUAAAAAUCACUUAAUCAAAUGACAAAUGAUGUCAAUACACUUUCACCAUUUUUAUAUGGGAAGGGUUGUCGCGCUGAUGCCAUCUUUUCUUUAAAUAUAUUUCUGAGUUGAUAAAGGUUGUUGACAAGAUUUGUUCAUUAGGUGAAAACUUGAAAGGGUGUCUUCUCAAGAAAAGAAAAAAAAAAAAAAAAUA
rnacentral:lncRNA from 1 species